AGUGAACGCUGGCGGCAGGCCUAACACAUGCAAGUCGAGCGGCAGCGCGGGGGCAACUCUGGCGGCGAGCGGCGGACGGGUGAGGAAUUCGUCGGAAUCUGCCUUUUUGUGGGGGAGAACGUAGGGAAACUUACGCUAAUACCGCAUACGCCCUACGGGAGAAAGUGGGGGAGCGCAAGGUCUCACGCAGAAAGAUGAGCAGACGACCGAUUAGCUAGUUGGUGGGGUAAAGGCCCACCAAGGCGACGAUCGGUAGCUGGUCUGAGAGGAUGAUCAGCCACACUGGAACUGAGACACGGCCCAGACUCCUACGGGAGGCAGCAGUGGGGAAUAUUGGACAAUGGGCGCAAGCCUGAUCCAGCCAUGCCGCGUGUGUGAAGAAGGCCUUCGGGUUGUAAAGCACUUUUGUCCGGAAAGAAAUCCCUGGAGCUAAUACCUUCGGGGGAUGACGGUACCGGAAGAAUAAGCACCGGCUAACUUCGUG
rnacentral:rRNA from 1 species